AAAAGCUUUCUCGCGGGUUAAAAAGACCCAUAUCUUCCGGGUCAAUAAACUUGGGUUAUACCAAGUUCACUUUCCCUUUCAUGUUCAAACCAAAAGAGAGAGACAGAGAACAUGAGACGAUCGAGAAGAAGAAAACACCCCCUUUCCGUUUGCUUCGAUCGAGAGACACAAGGAGUUCAAAUCUCCAGCGUUUAUUUUGGAAAGCCACGACGAUAACCACGACGAACAAGGACGACGAAGACCUUCGAUUACCCAUGACGCACCAAGUUCGAUUUCUCUCUCCCUCUCUCUCUUACUCUCUGUGGUUUUUUUAUUGAAUGCGAAAUAAGGGGUUUUUUGGAACGCGAUUGAACUGGUUUUUCUUGAACACGAAAUUAGGGUUGUGGCUGUAUAGAUUUGAUUUUGAUUCUGAUUUGGGGCAAUGAAUGUGGAGAUUUGGGUGUUUUGGGGGCUAGGGUUUGUAAUUGGGAAAAUUGGGUCUAUGGUACACCCGUACCUUCAAGCCCUUCAUGACUCACGAAAAGCUUGAACCUAUCAUGGCCUCUCUUGGCUUCGUACCCCUUCCCUCCUAUAUUGACUCAUCCCUCAACAGAGCUGGAGCCAUCUGGAGGGACUAUGCCUAUUCUGCCUAUUAUUCUGCACGAGGCCUCAGGGGUACUAACAAUAGGUCUAGUCAAUGGUGUAUGUGCACAAACUAGUAAUCCUUCUUUUUGUCGGGCUGCUUUGCUGUCUGAAUCUACCACAGCAGAUAUUAUCGGACUAGGAUACGUCGCGAUUGACGUAGCGACUGCAAACACCAGAGCCGCCACUACUAUUUAAUGCUGAUAAAUUUCUUGCAUAUAUUGCGUUCAUUCACACUACACAAAUAUAUUCUCAAUGAACACAAAAACGUGUGAGACACGUUGCAGCUUUACCUAGUACACAGUAAAUGGGCUCAUGAAUCAAGAAUUUACCAUGCAUGGUCAGGCAGUAAAUGGUUUCAGUAUCAAUCCAUCUAGAAUUGGUCAUUGGAAACUGCAAAAAAAACCAAGGCUUGAUACAUUGAAUAUUGUAAUGUAGAGAGGAUACUUAAUUGCAUGUACUGUAAUUAUCUUUUCCCAUCUUAACCUUCUUUUUCUUUUUUCGGCUGCACAUGCCGAUUAUUGAUCAUUUCCAAGAACUCGUAUGACUCCAGAAGUCACUCUAUUUCAUCAGUAGUACUACAAAAAUGAACAUAAUUCAAUGGAGAGAAGAAGGAAAUAAACUGAUCAGUACAUUGUUAGUUCUUGUUAGUUCUUUUUUUUUUUUUGUAGUAAAGCUUGGCAUGGCUUCCGCUUCUUCAAAUGCCACAUCUGGAUGGCCGAAGUCCAAAUACCCCGGCCGGUACUACUACAGUUGCCCUCGUGACAAGUCCUGCUAGUGGAUGGGUUGUGCGAUGAGAACGGGCACAAUGUUGCACAUUCAGAAGAUGAUCGGUUGCGCCAGUUGAUCGACCGGCUCAUCCAUAGUCAACUUCCACAGCUUAAGCAUGUUAGCCAUGUUCAAUGUAGUCCGUCUUGUAAUCAUUUUUGGGAUUGUUAUUGUCUACUCCAAGCAAUCCAACUUGGUUUAUUUAUGCAUAUGCAAAUUGUGUACUCCACACCUUCGGGUUGCUUGGCUAUUAUCUUUUAGCUUAAGGACCAGAUUUAUGUAAUUGGUGUAUUUAUGCUCUAUCACAUGAGGUGUUAUCUGUAAUUGGUGUAUUCUGCUAUGAUCAAUGUAGAGCUAUGCUUUUAUAAGCUCUUUUUUUGGGUGAGUUUUGGUAUAAAAAAAUAGCCCGUUGCCGUUUGUGCUA